rnacentral:rRNA from 1 species
UACGAACGCUGGCGGCGUGCUUAACACAUGCAAGUCGAGCGAUGAAGUUCCUUCGGGAACGGAUUAGCGGCGGACGGGUGAGUAACACGUGGGUAACCUGCCUCAUAGAGGGGAAUAGCCUUCCGAAAGGAAGAUUAAUACCGCAUAAGAUUGUAGCUUCGCAUGAAGUAGCAAUUAAAGGAGUAAUCUGCUAUGAGAUGGACCCGCGUCGCAUUAGCUAGUUGGUGAGGUAACGGCUCACCAAGGCGACGAUGCGUAGCCGACCUGAGAGGGUGAUCGGCCACAUUGGGACUGGGACACGGCCCAGACUCCUACGGGAGGCAGCAGUGGGGAAUAUUGCACAAUGGGGGAAACCCUGAUGCAGCAACGCCGCGUGAGUGAUGACGGUCUUCGGAUUGUAAAACGCUGUCUUCAGGGACGAUAAUGACGGUACCUGAGGAGGAAGCCACGGCUAACUACGUGCCAGCCGCCGCGGUAA